UGAAUACUCCCUCCGUUCCAAAAUUCUUGUCUUAGAUUAGUCUAGAUACGAAUGUAUCUAAUACUAAAACGUGACUUGAUACAUCCGUAUUUAGACAAAUUUAAGACAAGAAUUUUGGGACGGAGGGAGUACAUG
rnacentral:pre_miRNA from 1 species